rnacentral:rRNA from 1 species
AACGCGAAGAACCUUACCUCGGCUUGACAUGCACGUGGUACUGAGGGGUAACCCGAGGGACCCGCAAGGGAGCGUGCACAGAUGCUGCAUGGCUGUCGUCAGCUCGUGCCGUGAGGUGUUGGGUUAAGUCCCGCAACGAGCGCAACCCUUGUCCUUAGUUAUCAUGUCUAGGGAGACCGCCGGUCUAAACCGGAGGAAGGUGGGGAUGACGUCAAGUCAGCACGGCUCUUACGUCGAGGGCUACACACACGCUACAAUGGCCGGUACAACGGGCUGCGAAGGGGCGACCUGGAGCCUAAUCCCGACCAAAGCCGGUCUCAAGUUCGGAUCGCAGGCUGCAACUCGCCUGCGUGAAGUCGGAGUUGCUAGUAACUGCUGGUCAGCACACAGCAGUGAAUACGUUCCCGGGCCUUGUACACACCGCACGA